CUGAUUUAUAUUUUCUCCCAAGAAGUAAAUUUAAUCUAUCAUGUUCUUUCUUACUCUUUUGUACUUGACCUCCCUACUGCACCAAGACAUGGGCCAUAUGUAUAAAAAAAUAAGCAUUUAGCUAGGCUCAACUGGUUGGCAUCCAUCUCGAUCUCGAAGAGAUCCAAGGCUCAAACCUAGGUGGUGGUGCUGCCAUCAUAUUUUUCUUAAAAAAACA